rnacentral:ncRNA from 1 species
UCGGGACGCGCGAUCUCCCGGUCAGGCGCUUCGCCCAAGCAUCGC